rnacentral:rRNA from 1 species
CUUAAAGGAAUUGACGGGGCCCGCACAAGCGGUGGAUGAUGUGGUUUAAUUCGAUGCAACGCGAAAACCUUACCCACCUUUGACAUGUACGGAAUCCUUUAGAGAUAGAGGAGUGCUCGAAAGAGAGCCGUAACACAGGUGCUGCAUGGCUGUCGUCAGCUCGUGUCGUGAGAUGUUGGGUUAAGUCCCGCAACGAGCGCAACCCUUGUCAUUAGUUGCUACGUUCAGUUGGGCACUCUAAUGAGACUGCCGGUGACAAGCCGGAGGAAGGUGGGGAUGACGUCAAGUCCUCAUGGCCCUUAUAGGUGGGGCUACACACGUCAUACAAUGGCUGGUACAAAGGGUUGCCAACCCGCGAGGGGGAGCCAAUCCCAUAAAGCCAGUCGUAGUCCGGAUCGUAGUCUGCAACUCGACUACGUGAAGUCGGAAUCGCUAGUAAUCGUGGAUCAGAAUGUCACGGUGAAUACGUUCCCGGGUCUU